UACGGGGGGAGCAAGCGUUGUUCGGAUUUACUGGGCGUAAAGGGCGCGUAGGCGGCGCAACAAGUCACUUGUGAAAUCUCCGGGCUUAACCCGGAGCGGUCAAGUGAUACUGUCGUGCUAGAGUGCGGAAGGGGCUACUGGAAUUCUCGGUGUAGCGGUGAAAUGCGUAGAUAUCGAGAGGAACACCUGCGGCGAAGGCGGGUAGCUGGGCCGACACUGACACUGAGGAGCGAAAGCGUGGGGAGCGAACAGG
rnacentral:rRNA from 1 species